rnacentral:sRNA from 1 species
UGAGAGACUGUGACGGUAGCUUGUUGGA